rnacentral:lncRNA from 1 species
UUAAGAGUUAUAUGCAGGAGAACUUCAGAAAAUUAGGUACAAAAGAGUGCUAAAAAUGUGCACAUAUGUGCACUUAACACACCCCCAAACCUGAAUUUUGCUGGUCCUCAAGCAAUAUCCUAACUCACUUUCGCAGGCAUCAUGGUUGCAUUUAGCAGAUGCAACAAGCCGUUAAACACCUAGGUUACCCUAGUGGACGAGUGUUGUCUCGUGAGGGUUUGCAGUGAAGUUAUCCACAAACUUCAUCAAAUAGGGAUUUCCAAUGUUUAACUCAAAAUUUGAGCAAGUAUUAUUGUAUGAACCUAGAAUUGCAAGGACAAUAGAGACUUAUUGCUAUUAUAUUUAAGCAGACUCUAACUCAAGUUUCAUUACACACCAUCUAUCUGCUAAGAAGUUAAGAAUGUAGUGAGGUGCAAGAUAGUAUCAUAUAAAUGAGUGGCUUUCACUUACUUCCAACAUGAUCACUCUAAUUUCUAAGACUUUCUAGAGUUAAAUGGUAAUGAACACCCAAAAUUUAUCUUUUAUUCAGACUGAAUGCUAAGAAAAAUGACUUGUGCAAUAUCUAGCCUUAUUAAGCUUUCUAGCUAACCCAUGUAGCGAGUGUUAGGCCAGUAACUCCCGAUCCAGAUGGCUCAGGGCAUUAGGUGUAAAGACACCCUAACAGGCUUAAUAACUCAAGUCAACUAGGGUCCAAGGCCGAAUUAGUCACUCAGAGUUUAAUCUAAGUUAUCUUCACCUUUUUACGCGAACACUCGCUGCUUGCCAGGCAAGAGGCCCAGUUACUUAGUGAGAAGACUUAAAAUAAACCCUUUUUUUUUAGGGUGUUCAUCACACAUCUAACUUUAAAUUAUCCAGAAGAUUAAAAAUAUUCAUAUUAGUUG